CAAAUUAGAGCUUGUUAGAAAGCAUUUUAUUUACAUUAAAAAGUUAUUUGUGAGAAUCAAUAUAAUUUGA
rnacentral:tRNA from 1 species